GUGCAAUGGUGUGUGAAUGUCUUCAGCCUGAAAUCACUGUGAAGAGUGAAAUCGAGCUUUUUAACCCUGAGUCACA
ensembl:snoRNA SNORD36 Small nucleolar RNA SNORD36